GGAGUUUUGCCAUUUUUUGAUGUUUUGAUGCUUUGAACACAAGAUUGUGUCUUAACAGCAGGGACCAGCAGAAGACGAAUUUUGGUGGUUGUGGAAAUGUAUUUAUUUAUACAUCAGUGAGUCUCUUUCUCUGUUAUCCUGCAACUAGUCAUUUACUCCAGCGCAAAGGCUUUGGAGCGGAGCCUGGAGCUGGAGUGCGGAGCAGCUCUGGAGCAGUGGAGCUGCAGGUUUUUGCCUGGAGCUGGCUCGGAGCCGGAGCACAGCUCCAAAGCCUUGAUUUCAAGAACCCGAAAGGCUGCUGUGUGGGAAUUCUGGACUUUGAUAAAUGGAUUGGAAGCUUACACUCAGCAUCACUGUAGAUUUUACAAAUGACUCUGUGUCCCCUGCUGG